GAAGAAUAAGCACCGGCUAACUACGUGCCAGCAGCCGCGGUAAUACGUAGGGUGCGAGCGUUAAUCGGAAUUACUGGGCGUAAAGCGAGCGCAGACGGUUACUUAAGCASGAUGUGAAAUCCCCGGGCUCAACCUGGGAACUGCGUUCUGAACUGGGUGACUAGAGUGUGUCARAGGGAGGUAGAAUUCCACGUGUAGCAGUGAAAUGCGUAGAGAUGUGGAGGAAUACCGAUGGCGAAGGCAGCCUCCUGGGAUAACACUGACGUUCAUGCUCGAAAGCGUGGGKAGCAAACAGGWUUAGAUACCCUGGUAGUCCACGCCCUAAACGAUGUCAAUUAGCUGUUGGGCAACUUGAUUGUUUAGUAGCGUAGCUAACGCGUGAAAUUGACCGCCUGGGGAGUACGGACCCCAAGAUUAAAACUCAAUGA
rnacentral:rRNA from 1 species